rnacentral:rRNA from 1 species
AUUGAACGCUGGCGGCAUGCUUUACACAUGCAAGUCGAACGGUAACAGGGAGCUUGCUCCGCUGACGAGUGGCGAACGGGUGAGUAAUGCGUCGGAACGUGCCGAGUAGUGGGGGAUAACGCAUCGAAAGGUGUGCUAAUACCGCAUACGAACUGAGGUUGAAAGUGGGGGACCUUCGGGCCUCACGCUAUUCGAGCGGCCGACGUCUGAUUAGCUAGUUGGUGAGGUAAAGGCUCACCAAGGCGACGAUCAGUAGCGGGUCUGAGAGGAUGAUCCGCCACACUGGGACUGAGACACGGCCCAGACUCCUACGGGAGGCAGCAGUGGGGAAUUUUGGACAAUGGGCGCAAGCCUGAUCCAGCAAUGCCGCGUGCAGGAAGAAGGCCUUCGGGUUGUAAACUGCUUUUGUACGGAACGAAACGGUCCGGGUUAAUACCCUGGGCUAAUGACGGUACCGUAAGAAUAAGCACCGGCUAACUACGUGCCAGCCGCCGCGGUAA